UACGGAGGGUGCAAGCGUUAUCCGGAUUCACUGGGUUUAAAGGGUGCGUAGGUGGAUUAGUAAGUCAGUUGUGAAAUCUCCGGGCUUAACUCGGAAAGGUCAACUGAUACUGUGCGACUAGAGUGCAGAAGGGGCAACUGGAAUUCUCGGUGUAGCGGUGAAAUGCGUAGAUAUCGAGAGGAACACCUGCGGCGAAGGCGGGUUGCUGGGCUGACACUGACGCUGAUGCGCGAAAGCCAGGGGAGCGAACGGG
rnacentral:rRNA from 1 species